ensembl:lncRNA
GUGGCGGCCUUACAAAUUUUGAUGUUUCGCCAUGAGAAAGGAAGUUGCUAUAACUCAGACAUACAAUGUCCAAUCUGCCCCAAACUUCACAUGUUUGAGAAGACUCCUGACCUGAAUAUAUCUACAUGCCAAUAUUCAGAUAUCGCUAUAGCGCCACCUGCUGGCAACAGGAAGUGACAUGUUUUACGCCGUAACAAACUACUCCUAGAAAUUUUAUGACAUUUUAUAAUUUUUUUUUGGUCAGUCUAAUCUAAAGGCCUUUGCGAUGUUAAAUUGUGAACAUCUUGAGGUUUCAUUAAAGGGUGUGGCCAUGGCGCCGUGACAAAGUUCGAUGUCUCGCCAUGGGAAUAGAAGUUGUUGUAACUCAGGCAUAAGAUGUCCGAUCUUCCCCAAACUUCACAUGUUCGAAAAGAGUCUUGGCCUGAACACAUCUGAAGGUCAUUAUUCCACUAUAAUCAUAGCGCCACCUGCU